rnacentral:lncRNA from 1 species
UUGGGUUUCUUAAGUACAGGUAUUGAGCAGCAUGAAGGACAGUGCUGCCCAGCUCAGGGUGUCUGCUUGGUGGGUCUGACCCCCGCCCAUCCAGUUGUUUCUGGGUGUGUGAGAGAUCUUUCAUUCAUCUGGGUCUAACUGGUUGAGGGACUUUCCCACCUGGGCGGGGCUUCAUGGCCUCCAUUGCUUUUGCUGUCUUUGACCCCUUUUGUUGGGGCUUCUGCAGGCAUUCUGUCUGGGAGCAAUGGAGGGCUGCCUUCUGUGGAACUGUGGGAGGGAGGUUCACCGAUCAGAUGAACAUCUCGUCCAAGCCAGAAUUCUGCGGGGGACACGUGAGCUUUGCUUACAGUUUGCUUUCACCGUACAGACUGAAAGAAGGUUUCAGACUUCCUUUUCUCAGAAAGCAUGAAGAAUUUAUGACGUCUGGCAAAAGAAGCCGCUACUGUAAUGUUCCAGAUGUGUGCAGUAGAGCGCACUGUCACAGCCCUUUCUGCACCACCCAGGCAUCUGUGGCCAUGGAGGGAGGCCCUGCAGACCGCAUUUCCAGAGUUGAGGCCCUCACGAUUGUGCUGUGGGUUUGCUGCUGCUGCUGCUGAGUCCUUCUGGGGGGACCCCUGAGGUGGGGAGCAGAGGGCUUUUGUUCACACUCCCUUUGCCUGGGAGCCCACUUGUGUUGCUGCUGUGUUGUGUAUAUAGGUGAGCGUAUGUGUGUCUGUUUGUCACUUUGUUUCCUCCAUGAUUUCAAUCAUACCCGGACGUCCUCAGAGCCCCUACAUCCUGUUUGGAAUUAUGGCCAACCUAAUCUGUCAAGAGGCUCGGCCCUUUUCAAAACUCAGUGUACACUUUUUAUGGCGUGUGACCAGUGCACAUGCAGCCUGGGGACCUCUGCUGUUGUUUGUAAGCUGUGAUGAUUCUUCCCCUUCCUAAUUGCAGGUUGAGAUUGACGUGGGAAGGAGUGGCUGGCAGGGAGGGAACGUGUUCCCUGAGUGUUAACCCACAGCCUGCCUCAGUUUACCGACUGCUGAGGAGGCUGCAGUGUCCAGUGCUCAGUCAGCCCUCAGAGUGUCCGCCGUGCCCCAUGGGAGCAGGGGUGGAGCAGCUCCUUGUCUCUCAGCCCUGACUUCCUUGUCAACCUUGUGGCUUGUUCUCAGCUCCCAGGAUUACACUGAGCGCAACGCUGCUGCCUUCAGCUUGGUUCUGGCUGGGCAGCCCUGAGUGGGAGCUUUGCUCUGAGGGUUCUCCUCUGACUUGCCCUCAAAGUUCACCAAUUCUGAAACUCUGUGGAGAAGUUUCUGUCACCAGCGGCCUCCUGUUGCUAUUAAGUCAUGUCAUGGGCACCUAAGAGAGGAAGUACACUGAGGUGUGUUUUACAAUUGUUCCUUAAGAUUCUCAAUGGUGAUUGGGAUUGAGAAACUGCAAUUUUCUGAUUGAAAAAUAACCUUGGAUCACCAAAUUAGGUAGAGCAGGGCACACCACUCCCCAGCAGCCAGGGCUCACUCUUGGCAGCAGCUGAGGCUUGAGGAAACUGGUGUCCUAAAACACUGAACCCAGUGCCCACUGGAGCUGCCGGCCCCAGGUUUUUCUUCUUUCCUGAGUUCCCCAGUCUUGUGAGAGCAUUUCCCAGUCAGGUAGCCAGGGGAGCAGUGCCACCAUGCGAUUGUACAGUGUGUUGUUUGUCUCAUUAAACAGGCAGGCCCCAGAGACUGCGUUCACGGCACCAUGCAGAUCUCCGUGGUUCACAUAGCUUGCUUUACACUCGUUUUGUCUUGUCAGAAAUAAAAUGUUUGUGCCUUUCCUUGUCAUGAACUCUGUGUUUGUCACUUUGACACAUGGCUGUGUUUCCCACUUUGUGUGAGCAUAAGCACUGUGCAGUUUUACUGUUUUCCAGUUUGUGUGCCAACCAUUCCUAGCAGCCCUCUGAGGUAUCUCAGGUGAGAGCCACAGGGUGGAACCAGAAAGUACCCCAUCUCGAAGUGUGCCUCUGGGACAGCGUUAUUAGCUAGUCCCUGAGGCCCCAGCACAGGAAAUACUGCAGUGUUCCUUCCUGCAGGCCAUGGAGCCCUGACCCAGGCCAGUCCUGGGCAGUGCUUAGGUGGCUGUUAGCAUAUAACAGGUGAAGUAAGGAUUUGGUGAAGAGCGGGGUCCCAGAAACCAGGCUGAGAACAAGCCGGGGUGUCUUCCUGGUGAGUCCUGCUCACGACUGUUCUCAGGAAAACUGAGCCUUCCCUUUGUGUGUAUGUUCCUCACCCACAACCAUUUCACUGUCAAAAAGUUCACAUUUGUGUCUUCUGAAAGUGAAGGAAGCUGGGAGAGUAUGCGCAUCCAUAUGGUCCAUGUGUACCCAUGCACACACAUGGACACAUGCACACACACAUGCACAGGCACGCGCACACAUGCACACACAUGGACACAUGCACACACACAUGCACAGGCACACACACAC